AUUUAAGGUGGUACCUAACACUACAGGGAGAUAACUCUGUAAAAUCAGCUUAACGUUUUAAUUACGUUGUGUUGUAAAGGGAAUAUUAAGCUUCUCAAUGAUCAAAAUUGGUGUUUGUCAAACUACUAUAUAACCAGUGUAAUCGGUUGGUUCAAAAUUUUUGAAAUUUUUAUAUGUUUGUUAAAGGGUCAAAGUAAAUACUUUGUCAAAAUUUUAUGAAAAUUAAACGAGCCAAAUUAAUUUUAGCAAAAGUGUUGGG
rnacentral:lncRNA from 1 species